rnacentral:rRNA from 1 species
CCUACGGGGGGCAGCAGUGAGGAAUAUUGGUCAAUGGACGAGAGUCUGAACCAGCCAAGUAGCGUGAAGGAUGAAGGUGCCAAGCAUUGUAAACUUCUUUUGUCAAGGGACAAAAUCAGGCUCGAGAGCCUGACCGAGGGUACUUGAAGAAAAAGCAUCGGCUAACUCCGUGCCAGCAGCCGCGGUAAUAUGGAGGAUCCGAGCGUUAUCCGGAUUUAUUGGGUUUAAAGGGAGCGUAGAUGGGUUGUUAAGUCAGUUGUGAAAGUUUGCGGCUCAACCGUAAAAUUGCAAUUGAUACUGGCAGUCUUGAGUACAGUUGAGGUAGGCGGAAUUCGUGGUGUAGCGGUGAAAUGCUUAGAUAUCACGAAGAACCCCGAUUGCGAAGGCAGCUUACUAAACUGUGACUGACAUUGAUGCUCGAAAGUGUGGGUAUCAAACAGGAUUAGAUACCCCAGUAGUC